rnacentral:tRNA from 1 species
GAGUCUAUAAUUUAUAAAAGAAUAUUAAAUUGCAAAUUUAAAUGAGCUUGAGGCUGGACUUU